rnacentral:lncRNA from 1 species
GUCCCAUUGUGACAGAAUGAAACCGUGGACCAAGUAGCUGUCAUGAAGUGAGCAACUUUCUUCUGCCACACCCUCCCACCUUGAUGUUUCUGCCUCACACAGAUCUAAAGAGAUGGAACUAGCCAACCAUGGACUGACACCUAUGAAACCAUGAACCACAUAAGCUUUUCUUCCUUUAAGCAGAUUGUCAUGGUUAUUUUGUCUCAGUGACAAAAAGCUGGUCAACACACCUAAUUCCAUCAAAAGUUAUAGGUCAAAGAGGAAGGGCAUCACAUCGGCACUUUCUGAAAGCUGUCUCGGAAACAGAGAUUGUGACGGAUUGUAUUCUUCCAGCCUUCUUGGAGCUGUCCCGAAGAAAGGGGAGUGCUGUGAAUCUGCUCGGUCAUGAGCAGGUGCGACUUGGUGAAGGAGAGAAAGCACUUGUUCCCCAUGUCCCAGGCCAGGAGCCCGGGGACCUCGCCAUGGAGGCUGGCCCAGAAGUCAGAGUCACGGAGCUUUGUGGCCACCGUGGGCGAAGGAGUGGAGCGCAGGUGGGGAGCUCGGCCCCACGCCCACGCCGCUUCUUAAGUAGUCGGCGGUCCAGGUGCAGGCCAAGCAAGCGGCGCAGAUGCCCGAGCUCGCCACUGCCCCGAGGGCUCUCUGUGCCCUGGUCCUCGGAACUCAAAGUUUGAGGAUCCAGGAGGACGCACAAUAUGUAUCUCACACCUUUUCUCCCCUGGCG